CCGGCGACCGGCGCACGGGUGAGUAACGCGUAUGCAACCUGCCCGUUUCAGCGGGAUAACCCGGAGAAAUCCGGCCUAAUACCGCAUGUGGCCGAGGGGAGGCAUCUUCUUUCGGCCAAAGGAGGCGACUCCGGAGACGGAUGGGCAUGCGUGACAUUAGCUAGUUGGCGGGGUAACGGGCCCACCAAGGCGACGAUGUCUAGGGGUUCUGAGAGGAAGGUCCCCCACACUGGUACUGAGACACGGACCAGACUCCUACGGGAGGCAGCAG
rnacentral:rRNA from 1 species